rnacentral:rRNA from 1 species
AUUGAACGCUGGCGGCAGGCUUAACACAUGCAAGUCGAGCGGGGUGAGGUGCUUCGGUACUGAGCCUAGCGGCGGACGGGUGAGUAAUGCUUAGGAAUCUGCCUAUUAGUGGGGGACAACAUUCCGAAAGGAAUGCUAAUACCGCAUACGCCCUACGGGGGAAAGCAGGGGAUCUUCGGACCUUGCGCUAAUAGAUGAGCCUAAGUCGGAUUAGCUAGUUGGUGGGGUAAAGGCCUACCAAGGCGACGAUCUGUAGCGGGUCUGAGAGGAUGAUCCGCCACACUGGGACUGAGACACGGCCCAGACUCCUACGGGAGGCAGCAGUGGGGAAUAUUGGACAAUGGGGGGAACCCUGAUCCAGCCAUGCCGCGUGUGUGAAGAAGGCCUUUUGGUUGUAAAGCACUUUAAGCGGGGAGGAGGCUCUUGAGGAUAAUACCCUUGAUGAGUGGACGUUACCCGCAGAAUAAGCACCGGCUAACUCUGUGCCAGCCGCCGCGGUAAUAC